AGAUGAGUCCGCGGCUGAUUAGCUAGUUGGUGGGGUAACGGCCUACCAAGGCUUCGAUCAGUAGCCGGCCUGAGAGGGUGAACGGCCACACUGGGACUGAGACACGGCCCAGACUCCUACGGGAGGCAGCAGUGGGGAAUCUUCCGCAAUGGGCGAAAGCCUGACGGAGCAACGCCGCGUGAGUGAAGAAGGCCUUCGGGUUGUAAAGCUCUGUCUUCAGGGACGAAAGAAAUGACGGUACCUGAGGAGGAAGCCACGGCUAACUACGUGCCAGCAGCCGCGGUAAUACGUAGGUGGCAAGCGUUGUCCGGAAUCAUUGGGCGUAAAGGGCGCGUAGGCGGAUAAUUAAGUCAGAUGUGAAAUAUGCGGGCUCAACCCGGAGAUGCAUCUGAAACUGGAUAUCUUGAGUGCAGGAGAGGACAGUGGAAUUCCUAGUGUAGCGGUGAAAUGCGUAGAUAUUAGGAGGAACACCAGUGGCGAAGGCGGCUGUCUGGACUGUAACUGACGCUGAGGCGCGAAAGCGUGAGGAGCAAACAGGAUUAGAUACCCUGGUAGUCCACGCCGUAAACGAUGGGUACUAGGUGUA
rnacentral:rRNA from 1 species